CAUAUUCAUCUUUACCAUCACUGUCACUGUAAUCUACAUUCCAUCACCUUUAUCAGGUGCUGCUGAGUACAAAGCACUUGGGAUGGGAGACACAGCACUGAAUUCACAAACAUUGGACCAAACUGUUUGUCCCCAUCUGGGUUCAUGAGGCCACCUCUUUGCUCAAUCCAUGCCUCUUGCCCUCAGUCAACAAGACAUUCCUAGAGGGAAAGGGCUGCUGCUCUGGGAGUCAACCUGAGUUCCUCCCUCCUGGGAAGCUGGGUUGGCAAGAUUCUAGGACACUCACCUGCAUGGACAUCACCUCUGUGACAAAUGCUUACCUGUUUCUCAUCUUCAGACUUGGCGAUAUCAAGCCUGUUCUGGACCAUGACCAGGCUGGCUCAUAUCUCUGGUUUAGAGAAACCUAUGAAUAACUGGGGACAAACAGACUCUUUGGUAGCAGCAGACACAUGUGAUCCAUCAAGAUCAACCAAGGUUGCAACUGGAGCGUCCACUGCCAGAGACCUUUGGCUCUUCAAGCUCGGGACAAAAAAGAAGACUCUGUUGUCCCUUGGUAACCCAGUCCCUGCUUUUGUAGCUAUCACAGCAGAAAGCAACUCUUCCUGAAGACCAAACACUCGUCAUCCACAUUCCUUGAAUGGCCAAUCCUUCCAUCUGGAGGCCUGGCUCAGAAAGUAUCUGAGUAUCCUGACACCCUCUGUGACUCAGGAGCAGGGAUCUCAGGCAGCUGAUAUCAAAACCACCCAGCCCCAUCCCCAGGAGGCGACAUUCCAAUGCUAGGACCAAUCCCAGAUAUCUGGUCCCGAUGGUGAAAUGGAACAAAGACCUGCUUGGGAAUAAACCAAAUGAUUUCUCAUGACGUUGAACAUAAGUUCUCCCAAGCCAUCAUCUUGGUAGAAAAUGGGACUUAUUCCUUGACAGGCCCCACCCCCUUCAGAAAGAGGCCCUUGACCCUGAUAGGUUCUCUCUAAAACCCGUAUAUUAACGCAUCUGGCCAACUUGGGUUAUAAAAUUCAGCCUUGUGUUGGCAACUCGAAACAUCACCAGAGAGGUGAUGUUGAAUGAGAGACACAAGGCCUCCAUCUCUUUGGGGCUGACCACAGCCUGAGAAAGAAGGUCUGGGUUCCAGUGGCCAGGCCGUCCCAGAAACAACCCCCAUCCAUCCCUGUAAAUAGAGUCUGUAGCAAAAUAAGAGCUGCUUCCUCCAACUUAUCACAAGUCGCCGUUGGUCCUCUCUAAGGAGGGCUCUCUUCUGAGUUCAUUGUACAAUAGUUGGAAACGUGGUGAUGUGCUGUUCGUUUAUAGAAAGCUGACUUUUUAUAAAUAUAUAUAUAUACUAAAAAAGGAAAGAAAUCCCCCACAGUGUGUGUCGUGCUAGUGCCAGAGACCAUCUGUAGGGAUAUAUCUUCAUAUUGUGUGUUUCAAAUUAUGCAUUCCAGGCUCUAGUGGGUUCUUUCAAUCUUGUUCCUUUAUUUUUUUCAUUUGGUAUUUCUCUCUUGCUAUAUAAAGAAAAAAAGAAGUGAUGUGUAAGAACCAAGCUAUGCUUUUAUACUUCCAUUUUAUACUUGAUUUAGCUUUGUUGUUCUUUUGCCAGAGGAACAUCAAAGGGCAGAGCAAACAGAGAACUAGGGGGAUAAGAGAGAAGAAAAGAAGAAUGGAGAGAGAGGUUUGCCCAGAAGGAAAACGAAGAGCCAGAUUGAAAUCUGACUCUGGCUUGAGAACAGGACGGGUCCCAGAGUUUGACCACUGCCAGAAUCCAGUGUUUCAAGAUGGAGUUGGUGAAGCAUCCAAGAUUUUGGAUCCUGGGCCUCAGUGACACUCCAUCACCCAACUAAAAAGAUGUUCUCUGGGACCUCUCUCAGGCUGAUGUUCUUCUCAUCAAGCUCCCGAAUGUGUCUCGCACUAUUGGACACUUUUUGGGGGUACACAGGUCUUCUCUCCUCCCCUCCUGCAGAGGCACCAAAACCAAGACCAAAUGGGGGUUCUCUAGCCGCCAACUUGAAACGCUCUGAGACUUCUGUGUAUUUGAUGCUUCUUCAAGUCAGCUCUGACGUGGCCAAUUCCCUGACCUGGGAAAUAUUUACAUAGUACUCUAGAUCAUUCCUUCUUCCUAGUAACUGCAACUUUGUUGCUUCUGUGUUUGACUCACAGCCACUUUCCCCCAUGCGGAAGUGAGUGGGUGUACGUGAGGGUGUGAGUGGGGUGUGUGCGUGGGCGUGUGGGCGUGAGGUGUGUGUUUAAAUAUAAUCACACCAUAAUUUAUUCAGCUAUAUGGAGUAGUAGACUAGAAAGAGAAACUGGUAUUUGCUUUAACUACCUGCUGCUUGUAAGCGCUUCCUCUGUAACUCAGGCGUAACUGUUAUACAUUAAAAGAAAUUAAAAGC
rnacentral:lncRNA from 1 species